AAAGCGUGCGCAGGCGGUUAUGUAAGACAGAUGUGAAAUCCCCGGGCUCAACCUGGGAACUGCAUUUGUGACUGCAUGGCUAGAGUACGGUAGAGGGGGAUGGAAUUCCGCGUGUAGCAGUGAAAUGCGUAGAUAUGCGGAGGAACACCGAUGGCGAAGGCAAUCCCCUGGACCUGUACUGACGCUCAUGCACGAAAGCGUGGGGAGCAAACAGGAUUAGAUACCCUGGU
rnacentral:rRNA from 1 species